GGUGGGUAGUUUGACUGGGGCGGUCUCCUCCUAAAGAGUAACGGAGGAGCACGAAGGUUGGCUAAUCCUGGUCGGACAUCAGGAGGUUAGUGCAAUGGCAUAAGCCAGCUUGACUGCGAGCGUGACGGCGCGAGCAGGUGCGAAAGCAGGUCAUAGUGAUCCGGUGGUUCUGAAUGGAAGGGCCAUCGCUCAACGGAUAAAAGGUACUCCGGGGAUAACAGGCUGAUACCGCCCAAGAGUUCAUAUCGACGGCGGUGUUUGGCACCUCGAUGUCGGCUCAUCACAUCCUGGGGCUGAAGUAGGUCCCAAGGGUAUGGCUGUUCGCCAUUUAAAGUGGUACGCGAGCUGGGUUUAGAACGUCGUGAGACAGUUCGGUCCCUAUCUGCCGUGGGCGCUGGAGAACUGAGGGGGGCUGCUCCUAGUACGAGAGGACCGGAGUGGACGCAUCACUGGUGUUCGGGUUGUCAUGCCAAUGGCACUGCCCGGUAGCUAAAUGCGGAAGAGAUAAGUGCUGAAAGCAUCUAAGCACGAAACUUGCCCCGAGAUGAGUUCUCCCUGAGACUUUAGGUCUCCUGAAGGAACGUUGAAGA
rnacentral:rRNA from 1 species